CCAGCCUGGGCAACAGAGUGAGAUUCCAUCUCAAAAAGAAGAAGAACCUCCCUCAUAAUUAAUAGCUGCAUCCCCACAACCAUCUCACCCCUUCCUAUACAGGCCUUCAAUCCACAGGGAUUUGUGUUUGGGUUAUCAUGGUUCCCAAGAUUUGGUAUUUGUUCAUUGAUUCAAGUUUUCACUUUUCAUUCUAGUGGUCAGCAUGUUAAGAAUGGUCUAAUUGGGAAAAAAAAUUACCUGAGAAAAUAAAGUCUGUGGAAUAUUCACCAAAGAUAAAUUACUGAGCUAACCAGCAUGAAAUCUGCAGCAUACACUCAGCAAAUGAAGACAGAUGUGAGUGAAGGAAAAUCCCUUUCCUGGUUCUCAUAAAAGCUCUCAAGUUGCAGGCUGAUGGUAUUUUCUCCUUAAAAGGUAGCAGAAUUUACAAUUACAAAAGUUUGCGUAGUGGGAAGUUGCAUAAUUCUCUCCACCAGUGCCUGUAAAAAAUUCUCUUCAUUCUCCCUCUUUUGAUAAUCUCUAGCUUGCCAAUGCAUUCAGUUUCAGCUGAAAUGUUUUUCCCCCUUCUACUAUUUCAAAUCAGGAAUUGAACAAUGUAGGAAAAAGUAUUUUAGAAUUUGGAACCUUAACAUUUUCUUCCUAAACGUUUUGCCAUUUGGACAAAACAUGUGAAUGGUAAUGAAUGGCUGAAGCUUUCCAGUGUGUCCUGAGGCUGUGGUAAGCGGGCCACUGCCUUAAUCAUGUAACUGUUUUUAAUUUGAGAUCAUUGCAUCCUUGUUUCACAGUCGUUUUCUCCUCAAGUCUCUCUCUGGCUCUUAGCAGAUGCUGCGAUAGUUGAAAGUUGCUCAAGUGCUGUCCUUCUCCAGGGCUCUGUCAUGUGAAGUCUGCUAACGAGAAAACAGAAUUUGAACAGAGCGUGGGACCCUGACCUGGUUGUGUACUUUGCGGGCCACUUCCACCAGUCUAUUUUCUAUGGAUAACAAAACUAGGCAAUGUUGAGUAAACUCCCCGAUGAGCAUUUUCUCUUUCUCAGUCUCCUGGAAACUUUCCGAAUGGAUUAAAAUAAAAGUAACAUCAUGUGUGAUCAUGUGAUCCUGCAGACAGACGAGGCAGUAAGCAGAGAUCAUCUAAUGGAUCUAAAGUCCUGUAUAAAAAUGAAUCCAUUCAAUGUGGACACUCAAUUCCUAAUUAAAAAUGCAGUGUAUAGUUUACUCUUUUAUUUAUACAACCCCAAAGUGCUAUAAAAUCACAGAUAUUUUACAUAUUUAUUAUGUUCAUCCUCUUCAAUGAGGUCACUUAGAAACCCAGCUCUAGCUAACUUCUAACUCAUUCUGUCUCCCUCAUUCUAUCUGCUCCUGGUACCACCAGCCCAGCAAAAUUAAAUGGAUUUUAAGACAUAAAAUCAACAGAUGAAGACAUAGUUUCUGCUCACGUCAUGCCCAGGAAAUGCAGGUAGAUGGGGUUAGGUAUAUGGGAAGGGAUUUAAUGAGCAAUGGGACCAUUGAGACUGGGAAGGAGAGACAAGGGACACUCUUUUAAGUGAUGAAACAAAGAACACAUACCAAAACCAUAAAUGGGCUCAGCUCACAACCAUGUACACUGUGUAUGAGUGCAUAGACUUACAUACACAUCUCCGUAAGGCAUAUCACCCACUUGCCACCCACUUUGAGACUUCCGCAGGGUGAGCUAUCCAAGGGCCUGGGAGUGACUCUUCAAGGUCAGUCAGGGCUGCUCUGCAAUCUGAUGGGAGAAGGGUGGCCUGGAAAGGGUGGCAGCACCUUCCACACAGAACAACUGAAAUAUUCAGAAAUGGGACUCAAUGUUUUGUCCUCGUGCUUUUCUUGGAAUCAGGGGGGAGGAAAGAGCAGUAAAGAGUUAAGGCAGUAGGUCUGCAGAGCCUGAACUGGAGGCAUUCCUAAAUGUGAGCACAGCCCAAACCACCCACGGUUGCCCUUGACCUAGAGGAAUCAAGUGUUGUACUCUGAAAGAAGUAAUGCUUUUUCAAACACACUGCUUUGGAAAGAGGGCAGCAGAAAGGCGUGGUUCUUUAUUCAAUCUAUGUAGAAGCAUAUCACUUUGUUUACUUCCUUUUUCAGUUGAUUUUAUUUAUUUAUUUUUUUGAUGUGGGAAGGACAGGUCCUAGGUUUAAAUACAAUCCUCUUCCCAGAAGGUUUUCAUACCUUCUCUUCACACAUGAUUUAUAGUAUAUAACUGGAUGUAGAUAAUAGAGGGAAUGGGACUAUCAAAAUAGGAAUUGUUCAGGGUAGGAAAAGGAAAGGAGAUUUUAGAACUUGAAGAACUGAUAUUCAAGUUCUGCCAUUGUCUAACUCUUAAUCUUCCUUUGUCACACAGAACAUAGUUAAGCAGAGGUAUCUGCGCUCAUUAGUAGGGUAAUAAGUGAGCAGAGAGAAGCAGAAAAGCAAGGGAUGUGAUGGUGUGUCAGUAACUCAAGGGGUGAGCCCAAGUACUUAAUACCAUUUGCUUAGUUUCACGGAAAUUUUCUGGAGCGAAAUGGAGAAACUGGGCAGUAAGGUCUUUAGCAUCCUAAACAGUGAUACCCUGGAGCUGCCACGCUUAACCUUCGGUGGAUUAUAGACCCCUUUUUGAACUAGAUGAAAACAAUGGACCUUCUCCCCUGCCCCCCAAACACACAGACAUGCACAAUUUGUCAUGCAGUUAACAGGAAAUCCCAGACUACUGGAGCCUCUGCACAUGCCCUAGGUUAAGAGCCCUUCUCCAGAGAAGGCUUCAUAAAGCCUAUUCUGGGAUGUUUAUAAUGGUUGGUUUGUUUGAGAAAGGAUGAUGUCAUAGUUUAUAGCUUUGAAAGCUUGACAGAAAUUGAGAUUUCCUUUUGUGGAGUGGCUUUUUCAUGUUAAGCACUUGAUAAAUAUUUGUUGAGUGAUUGAAAAAGCAAAUAAGUGAAUGUUCAAUAUCUAGAUCUUAUCAUUGUAUGUAUCUGUUCCGUAUCAAAGGCUAGUUUAAAAUAAUUUGCUGUGCUUUUUGCGCCAUGAUGGUGGGACAACUCCAUGAGGUUUCCAGUUUCAUGCAUGCAUGGACUUGAUCACCAUAGAGCCUGCCCUAUCAGAACAUGAUGUUAAUGGAGGAGUUAAUGGAUAGAAACACAUGGGACAGCCAAUCCAAUGAAGAUGCAUUCACAUUUUUCAUACAGAUUUAUAAUCAGUAACACUCCCUGUGUGGUAAGCAGAAUAAUAUCCUUCCGGACAAAGAUGUCCACCAUGUCCCAAACCUGGAGGCUCUGAAUAUGUUAUCUUCAAGAGAAAAGGGACUUUGCAGAUGUGAUUAAGGUUAUGGACCUUGAGGUUAACCUAGAUAAUUCUAGAAGGUUCAAUGUAGUUACACAAGUCCCAGAAAACCUCUACGAACUGUGAUUAGAAAGAUGAUGGAAGAUGGAUCAGAGAGAUGCAGUGUUGCUGCUUUGAAAAUGGAGGAAGGGGGCCGUGAGUCAAGGAAUGUGGGUGGUCUCUAGAAUCUGAAAAAGGCAAGGAAAUGGAUUCUCCCUUGGAGCUUCCAGAAGUAAAUGUACUCCUGCUAACAUCUUGAUUUUAGCCCAGUGAGACCCACAUCAGACUUCUGACCUACAGAACUGUAAGAUAAUAAAUUUGUGUUGUUGUAAGCGGUUAAGUUUGUGACACUUUGUUUCAGCAUCAGUAGGAAACCAAUACACAUUCCAAUAAUGAGAGGUGAUAUUUCUUAAGCAUCACCUAUGUUAAACACUUUACAUGAAUUAGCUUCGUCUUCACAAAUCUUUUCAGGCAGGCGCUAAAACUAACAACGUUGAGCAGAGGAGCAAGGGGAAGCAACC
rnacentral:lncRNA from 10 species